rnacentral:rRNA from 1 species
UACGAACCGUGCGAACGUUAUUCGGAAUCACUGGGCUUAAAGCGCGUGUAGGCGGGACGGCACGUCGGUCGCUGAAAGCCCCCGGCUCAACCGGGGAACGGGCGCCGAUACGACCGUCCUGGAGGGACGUAGGGGGACCUGGAACUUCCGGUGGAGCGGUGAAAUGCGUUGAGAUCGGAAGGAACGCCCGUGGCGAAAGCGAGGUCCUGGACGUUUUCUGACGCUGAGACGCGAAAGCCAGGGGAGCGAACGGG